rnacentral:rRNA from 1 species
AGGAGCAUGUGGUUUAAUUCGAUGAUACGCGAGGAACCUUACCUGGGCUCGAACGUAAGAUGACUGUAGGUGAAAGCUUACAUCUCUUCGGAGCAUUUUACGAGGUGCUGCAUGGUUGUCGUCAGCUCGUGCCGUGAGGUGUCGGGUUAAGUCCCAUAACGAGCGCAACCCCUACCUUUAGUUGCCAUCAGGUAAUGGCUGGGGACUCUAAAGGAACUGCCUACGCAAGUAGUGAGGAAGCGGGGAUGACGUCAAAUCAGCACGGCCCUUACGUCCAGGGCUACACACGUGCUACAAUGGCCGAUACAGAGGGCAGCUACCUGGUGACAGGAUGCAAAUCUCCAAAGUCGGUCUCAGUUCGGAUCGGAGUCUGCAACCCGACUCCGUGAAGUUGGAUUCGCUAGUAAUCGCGCAUCAGCCAUGGCGCGGUGAAUACGUUCCCGGGCCUU